CUUGCUUAUCUUGCCUCUUCGAGGAAGCAGGGUUACCUUCCUCUUCAAGGCUAACUGCUUCAGUUAUAACUUUUCAAGGUUGAUGUUGAUAGUCUCUGACACUUUGGUGUAUUGCUGUGUUGGAUGAGAAGGCAGGCCACUUGGAUGCAGCUCUUGGCUCUGCUACUUACUACGUCUGUCAUCUUGGAACUUUCCAGGAGCCCCUAAGCAAGUCCUUUCCCUCUCUCCCACUGUAUCCUUGUUCACGUACCUGAAGAACAAAGCAAUCACCUAUGAAGUAUUUCAAUGACAGGAUCCUCCACUCAGGAGAGCUGGGGCAAGGCUGGCUGAGGUGCUCAAGGAGCUGAGUUUGAGUUCAGGUGACCACCUGGCAGUGGAAUGAUGCUUCCUCACCUUCCAGACAUUUGAAACUUCUGGGCAGUCUUAGAAAUCACUUCAAGCCUCCAAUCCAGGAUACAGCUGCCUAGGGAAAAUCCCAGGGAAAGGUGGCAGAGAUGUCAUGGAACUGAAAGGCGAUGGAUACCUCAGUGAGCUCACUACGAGAUCUCAAAGAUUCCAAGUCACUGGCUGCUCCAAAGCAUAAAGCCACCCUCCGAGAGGCGGCAGGAAGCAAGUCUGGAGGAGGCCCCAGGUUUUGGCCAGAGGAUGGACCACCUUCUGGUGCCCUGGGGAGCUGCUGAAGGACAGUGAGGAAGAUGCUGAUGAUCCCCAGGACAGAAAUUCCGUAGCAGGAACGAAGAAGCACCUUGAGCCCAGCCCCCCUGUAAACAGAUCCUCUCUGAGCUGUGCUUCUGAACUGGACUGUUUUUGCUUGACCAUCUCCUGCACAACACGCAGUUCUGGAUGCUUUUAUAUGGUUGCCUUUCUUUCAUUUCUCCUUUCUUUUCUUUUUCUUCUCUUGGCCUUGGGAAUGACCAGAAAAGAAUUGCUUUAGAAAGUGUAAUUCUGUACUGAAAUUAACCUUGCUUAGGAACAAAUUCUGUCCCUAAGGAUUUUUUGAAUUGCAAUCCCAGGUUACCUAGUAAAUGGGGCUGCAUGGUUUGAUUUGUGUAGGACUGAUCCUCAGAUUAAAAAUACAUUUUCUUUCUUUCUUUUUAAGUGUGGAUCCAGGUAAUGGCCCGAGUCACAUUUACUUAGCUGCUGAAGCGAUCUCAAUGUGGUAUCGCUUGGAGUUGAAAUAUAAUCAAACAUAUAUUAUACCUGAGGCUCUUGAACACUAUUUGAUAUAUAUGUUAUGCUACAGAGAAACACAAACUUUGUAGGUUGUAAUUUAAUUCCUGUCUGAUCCUGCAGCCAGAGUGGUGGAGAAAUUAUAAAUAUCAAAAUUGGCUUCAAAUACCCUGAAUAUAAGCUAACCAACUGUGCGUGGAUGGCUUCAAAAUGCCAUUUCUAGGGCAAAGCAGGAAUUGGACACCUACUGAGCUCAUCAACAGUGUUGCCCAGAUCUGUCUGUGGAUCUGCCCAUGGUGGAGAAACUGGAGAACAAGGCAUGCUUCUGUGCUUGGGUUUAUGGAAAUUGUGGCAUUUCUGACCUAUGUUCUGUAACUGUGCCUGCCUUGCAAUAAAAUACCUUCAGUUGACUCAGCAACAAGGUCUCUUGUCAAUUUCCGGCAAUAUGGUGUCCUCAGUGAUUUUCUAAGAAAGCUGCGGGUAGAACUGGGAGUGGGGGACCUGCCAGAGAUCCCAGCUGGAUCCAGCAUUACUCAUUGCUCUUUGAGAAAUGUCACUAGAGCUAUUUGUUGUCUAUGCAUGGGGUCAGAGUCUGUGUUCAUCCUCUCUUCUCUUCACAUUAGGUCAACUACAGCCCCCUGUAGUCUAGCAUAACUCUGUCACACCUGUGUGCUGUCACCUGCCACCAUUCCCUAGUUCUGGAGUCCCCAUUUACUUCUGUGAGACUCUAGGACAAGUCACUGACUCUCUGAAAUUCAUUUUUCUCAUCCAACGGAGACAUGACACUCCCCAUGGUGAUGGUGACAAAUGCCUGUCAGAGGAUAUGACGUGGGGGCACUUUCCACAUGGAAAAUGUAUGGGAUGGGGCAAUGUUCAAUUAAUGUUGUUUUAUUUCUUAAUAAACAAUUGAAAGAACUUUUGAGUUCCUUGUACUUGGCCUUUAUUUGAGAGCACUGAGGAA